ensembl:snoRNA
AUUCUUUUGUAGCUCGUAAGCACAAUGAUUAGAUUUUCAAAAGCACAUGUGAGAUGUGCCACCUCAAGCCUUGUUAUGACCUCAGCACAUCCAGAUG